GAUGAACGCUAGCGAUAGGCCUAACACAUGCAAGUCGAGGGGCAUCACAUGAAGUAGCAAUACGGAUGGUGGCGACCGGCGCACGGGUGAGUAACACGUAUGCAACCUGCCUUCAACAAGGGGAUAACCCGUUGAAAGACGGACUAAUACCCUAUAACACAGGGGUCCCGCAUGGGAAUAUUUGUUAAAGGACAACCGGUUGAAGAUGGGCAUGCGUUCCAUUAGCUAGUUGGCGGGGUAACGGCCCACCAAGGCACACA
rnacentral:rRNA from 1 species